rnacentral:rRNA from 1 species
CCUACGGGAGGCAGCAGUGGGGAAUAUUGCACAAUGGGGGAAACCCUGAUGCAGCAACGCCGCGUGAGCGAAGAAGGCCUUCGGGUCGUAAAGCUCUGUCCUAAGGGAAGAAGGAUGACGGUACCUUAGUAGGAAGCCCCGGCUAACUCCGUGCCAGCAGCCGCGGUAAUACGUAGGGGGCGAGCGUUAUCCGGAAUCACUGGCCGUAAAGGGUGCGUAGGCGUCCGAUCAAGUCUGGGGUGAAAGGCUACGGCUCAACCGUAGUAAGCCUUGGAACCUUAUUGGCUUGAGUGCAGGAGAGGUGAGCGUAAUUCCUGGUGUAGCGGUGAAUUGCGUAGGUAUCAGGAUGAACACCAGUGGCGAGAUCGUCUCUCUGGACUGUAACUUACGCUGAGACACGAAAGCGUGGGGAGCAAACAGGAUUCGAUCCCCCUGUAGUC